ACUAACCCUAGCCCAAACAUAACGCAAAUAAACUAUUAACUUAAAAUAAAUUAAAACAUUUAAUUACUUCCAUAAGAGUAUAGGAGAUAGAAAUUAUUUAAAGGCGCUAUAGAGACAGUACCGUAAGGGAAAGAUGAAAGAGUAAUUAAAAGUACAAUAAAGCAAAGAUUAACCCUUAUACCUUUUGCAUAAUGGAUUAACUAGAAAAACUAUAACAAAAAGAAUUUAAGCUAUAGACCCCGAAACCAAACGAGCUACCUAAAAACAAUUUUAUGAAUGCACCCGUCUAUGUAGCAAAAUAGUGGGACGAUUUUUAGGUAGAGGUGAAAAGCCUAACGAGCUUGGUGAUAGCUGGUUACCCAAAAAAUGAAUAUUAGUUCCCCCCAAAUUUUACCAUAAGAACACAAAAUCUAAAUGUAAAAUUGAAGGUUAAUCUAAAGAGGGACAGCUCUUUAGAUAAAGAAUUCAACCUUAUUUAGAGAAUAAGCAAAAUAAUAUUACCCAUAGUUGACCUAAAAGCAGCCAUCAAUUAAGAAAGCGUUCAAGCUCAAACCUUAACAAAAUAUUAAUACCUUAAAUUACUAUAAAUUCCUAAACUACUAUUGGGUCAAUCUAUAAACCUAUAGAUGAGAUAAUGUUAGUAUGAGUAACAAGAAAUUUUCUCCUACGCACAAGCUUAUAACAAACCGAAUACCCGCUGUUAAUUAACAAAUCACUAGAAAUAACCCAAAUAUAAAACUACUAGAUAAAACAAUUGUUAACCCAACACAGGAGUGCAUAAAGGAAAGAUUAAAAAAAGUAAAAGGAACUCGGCAAACACAAACCCCGCCUGUUUACCAAAAACAUCACCUCUAGCAUCACUAGUAUUAGAGGCACUGCCUGCCCAGUGACAUGAAUUUAACGGCCGCGGUAUCCUGACCGUGCAAAGGUAGCAUAAUCACUUGUUCCCUAAUUAGGGACUUGUAUGAAAGGCAAGACGAGGGCUUAACUGUCUCUUACUUUCAAUCAGUGAAAUUGACCUACCCGUGAAGAGGCGGGUAUAAAUAAAUAAGACGAGAAGACCCUAUGGAGCUUCAAUUAAAUCUCUUACUUAGUAAUUAUAAAAACCUAAUGGAAUAAUAACAUACAAAGCCUAAGAGAAAAAUUUCGGUUGGGGUGACCUCGGAGAACAAAAAAACCUCCGAAUGACCUAGCUUCAGGCCUACCAGCCAAGAGGUACCUAAGUAGUCAACUAAUUGAUCCAAUAACAAUUGAUCAACGGACCAAGUUACCCUAGGGAUAACAGCGCAAUCCUAUUCAAGAGUUCUUAUCGACAAUAGGGUUUACGACCUCGAUGUUGGAUCAGGACAUCCAAAUGGUGUAGCCGCUAUUAAUGGUUCGUUUGUUCAACGAUUAAAGUCCUACGUGAUCUGAGUUCAGACCGGAGUAAUCCAGGUCGGUUUCUAUCUAUUAACAAUUUCUUCCAGUACGAAAGGACCAAAGAAAUAAGGUCAACUAUACAAUAGCACCUUUAAUAUAAUAUAUGAAUCUAUCUUAAUAUACUAUAUAUGUAAAUUAACUACCCAAGAUAAAGGUUGUU
rnacentral:rRNA from 1 species